AAUUCAAUUUGAGAUGCCAAUAUACGUGACCACGUUUAAGGGAUUCCAAAAUAUCCAUCUUUAGACUGUUGGUUUGCGCAAAACUAAAUCGGAUUCUUGUUCAAAUAAUUUUCUAACCUAGAAAUUGGAUUUUAUUUCCCAAUCAUCGCACGUGUUUGUGAAGCCUGAAUCCUGAAAUGCAUGUCGCCUGAAAUCAGUACAGAUUCAGUGACGACAUUAACAACCAUUUCAAUUAUUAGCAAACCUCCAAACUUUAAACAGUCACCACUGACAUCUCUUGAUUAAAUUGUCUGUCUUAAACGCCUACUAGACGAAUUUUCAACUACUCCUCAGAAUUUUAAUUUAUUUCAUUAGACACCAGGCAGGCACACACAGGCCAUGAUCGACGCCUGGAGGAAGCAACAAGAUGAAUAGCGAACAAGAAAUCUCAACUCCUCUUAUUCACAGCAACAAGACCGAUGGCUCCGCUUCACGACCGCCGCGGGAGGAGUUUUCCGGCGACGAAAACUCUCCGAUCGAGCAAGUCGCCCUCACGGUUCCGGUCACCGACGAUCCCUCUCUCCCGACCGUCACUUUCCGGACUUGGACGCUCGGAGCCCUCUCGUGCGUUCUACUCUCCUUCCUCAACCAGUUCUUCUGGUACCGCCGGGAGCCUCUCUCCAUCAC